GGGACGCCGGAAGCCAUGGACGUGGAGAGGCUCCAGGAGGCGCUGAGAGAUUUUGAGAAGAGGCGGGGAAAGGAAGUUUGUCCUGUCCUGGAUCAGUUUCUUUGUCAUGUAGCCAAGACUGGAAAAACAAUGAUUUAGGGGUCCCAAUUUAAAAGCUAUUUUAUUUUCAAACUGGAGAAAGUGAUGGAUGAUUUCAGAACUUCAGCUCCUGAGCCAAGAGGUCCUCCCAACCCUAAUGUCCAAUAUAUUGCCUUUGACAAAAUGAAGGAAAGAAUACUGAAAAUUGUCGCUGGAUUUAAUGGUAUCCCUUUUACUGUUCAGCGACUGUGUGAAUUGUUAACAGAUCCAAGGAGAAACUAUACAGGAACAGACAAAUUUCUUAGAGGAGUAGAAAAGAAUGUGAUGGUUAUUAGCUGUGUUUAUCCUUUUUCAGAGAAAAACAAUUCCAAUAGUUUAAAUCGAAUGAAUGGUGUUAUGUGUCCUGGAAAUUCACCAAGCUAUACUGAGAGGUCUAAUAUAAAUGGGCCUGGGACACCCAGGCCACUUAAUCGAUCAAAGAUUUCUUUGUCAGCCCCCAUGACAAGAAAUGGCUUGCAUGAGAGCACAGACAGCAAAGAGGCAAAUUUGCAGCAAAAUGAGGAGAAAAAUCACAGUGACUCUUUGACAUCUGAAUCAGAAGUUUCCUCAGUGAGCCCUUUGAAAAAUAAACAUCCAGAUGAAUAUGCUGUGGAAGCUGAGGGGCAUGAGGUAAAAAGACUCAGGUUUGACAAAAAAGGUGAAGUCGGAGAAACAGCCAGUCAAACGACUUCCAGCAAAAUUUCUUCACUUAUGGUAGAAGAAACAGAAGCAUCAUCAUCUCAGGAUAAAGACAAAGAAAGCCCUUGUACCCAACAGCACUGUACAGAAGAGGAUGAAGAAGAAGAUGAAGAGGAAGAAGAGUCUUUUAUGUCAUCAAGAGAAAUGAUCCCAGAAAGAAAAAAAUCAAGAAAAAGAAUCUGAUGAUGCCUUAACUGUGAACGAAGAGACUUCUGAGGAAAAUAAUCAAAUGGAGGAAUCUGAUGUGUCUCAAGCUGAGAAAGAUUUACUACAUUCGGAAGGUAGUGAAAACGAAGGCCUUGAAAGUAGUGGUUCUUCUGACUGCCGUGAAACACAAGAAUUAGUAGGAUCCAAUCCCAGUAAAACUGGAGAGAUUCUUUCAGAAUCAUCCAUGGAAAAUGAUGAUGAAGCCACAGAAGUUACCGAUGAACCAAUGGAACAAGACUAACUAUUUAGAAACAUUUAGAUGCAGUAUUUUACAUACAGUUCUGGUUUUAACACUGUAUAAAACUUUUAUGUAAUAAAGUGGACCUUUAGUUUUACAAAAGAAGCAGAUUGUAAAAUAAAGUACU